AUGGAGGCCGACGCGGCGACCCCGUCCCCGCCGGGGUCGAGGAAGCGCUCGUCCCGCCCCAGGCCCCGCCCGGACGACGGCCGCCCGGAGCCCUACCCCAGCCCCCGCGGCUCCCCCUCCCGCAGGAGCGAGCGCACGCGCCGGCCCCGCGCGCCCGCGGACUCCGACGCGGUGACCGCGCCCGCCGAGCGCAGGGCCCGCGCGCCCUCGCCCGCCCUCCGCAGGCCCGUCCGCGCCUUCCAGGAGGCCGCCGCGCUGGCCGCGCUCGCGGCCAGCGCGCCCGCCGCGGCCUCCUCCUCCGGCGCCAGAUCCUACGGCGUGGUCUGGAGCGACGCCGACGAGGUCGCCCUCCUCAACGCGGCCGCCGCCUUCCGCGUGCGCCACGGCCGCGUCCCGGGCCUCCCGGACAUGGGCGCGCUCUUCGACGCCAUCAGGGGCUCCAUCGCCCCGCACAUCGACCAGCCCAAGGUGUACUACAAGCUGAAGCGGCUCAAGAGCAAGUUCGACCACGCGGUGCCGUCCGCGGUCGUCAGCCGGCACGAGCAGCGCCUGCGCGACCUCUGCAAGAAGGUCUGGGGCGCCAACUUCGGCCUGCCUGCCGAGAAGGAUGCCGCGCCGGAGGAAGACGAGGAAGACGAGGAGGAGGAGCGCGGGCGCGGCAACGUCCCGGACGCGGCAGCCAUGCUCCCGGUGGCCACCGAGGUGCUCGAUGCGUACUGGAAGACGGAUGGCCCGGCGCUGUCCGGGGUGUCCCUGGAGAAGGGGCUGUCAAAGCUAGCAACGGAAGACGCGAGAUGGAUCGAAGCCAAGUGGCGGCGGCAGCUGGAUGCAGAAGUGCACUCGCAGAUUAAGCGGCACGAUCUGGCCAAGGAGGUCUACGGCCUGCUCCUUGACGCCAUUAAGGGCCUCGGCCCCUAG
rnacentral:rRNA from 1 species